rnacentral:rRNA from 1 species
UGUGUAGGCGGUUCUCUAAGUUUGGUGUGAAAUCUCCCGGCUCAACCGGGAGGGUGCGCCGAAAACUGGAGGACUGGAGUGCGGGAGAGGAGAGUGGAAUUCCUGGUGUAGCGGUGAAAUGCGUAGAUAUCAAGAGGAACACCGGCGGUGUAGACGGCUCUCUGGACCGUAACUGACGCUGAGACACGAAAGCGUGGGGAGCAAACA